rnacentral:rRNA from 1 species
UGGGGAAUCUUGCGCAAUGGGCGAAAGCCUGACGCAGCCAUGCCGCGUGAAUGAUGAAGGCCUUCGGGUUGUAAACCUCUUUCAGUAGGGAAGAAGCGAAAGUGACGGUACCUGCAGAAGAAGCACCGGCUAACUACGUGC